UGCCCACUCUCCCUUUAAAGGACAACACACAAAAGCAAAGAAAUUUGAAUGGGUCUGGUCAAGGUGGUUCCUUUGUUCUAAAAUUCUCUCUGUUUUUCCUGUUUCUCAAGAGGAAGAAAGGCAAGAACUUUGGUGGGUUAUUUCUCUCUGAUCUGGAUCAAAUGGAGGGUGAAUCUGAUUCGUAUAGGGAAGUGAAGCCCAAAGCUGGGGAGGACCAACUGGUUCCUGUUAAUAAGAGUUCCUUGGCUGCUACUAAUGGCUAUGAUGAGAACUUGGGAUCCUGCAAACAAGGGGUUCUUCUCCAGACCAACAGCUCCAGGAAUGCUUCAAUGCCAACAUCUGGAACAAAUGCUACCAUCCCUACUUCAGAUCAGCUUACCAUCUUC
rnacentral:misc_RNA from 1 species